rnacentral:lncRNA from 1 species
AAUAACAUAAAUACAGGAAAUAUAAUGGAGGGUUGGGUCCUGCGGACGCCAUGCAACUACUUUGACAAGCUCCGAAUAAUACUCUGACAAGCAACUAAAAUGAUCAACUCUGCCCUGUGGUACCUGGAUCUGCACACAAGGUGCAGGGAGUAUGGGGUCAGUCUACCAACUCAGCAAAUAAUAAACAUGUAUAAAAACCCAAAGAUAAGAAAUCACGAAAUAACACAAAAUGAAGCUAUCUAGCGGUUCUAUACAGAAAAACCCUCAGAGAUAUGCAUAUAAAGCAACAGUAACUAAAUGCAUGAGAUGCAAUGCAAUGCAUGACCACUGCAGAAUGUGCAGUCUGAUCCAUUUGGGUACCUGCGCUCACUGUGGGGGUUCAGACUCCGGAGGGGCUCCUGCAGCCCAAGCGCAAUAUCAGUAACAUAUGUUGCGGCGCAGUCCAACCCACUAUCAGUCCAGCUAUAUGCAUGCAAGCCUCAUAGGCACAAAAUAACUUACCACUUAUAGUUCCAUUUAUCAGUAACUACAGAAUGAGGUGUUCAAAACCGUAGAAUUUUCCAAAUCAUUUUUAAACAAUAUUCUAAUACAGGACUGAUAUCAUGAAAACAUGCUAUGAUUCACGGAAACAAUGAUAAUGAUCCUCACGAGAUCCAAAUAACUGGCAUGCAGCCCAAAUAUGUUCAUAACCAUCCAAGUAGGAGGUUUACCGGAUCAUUUAUAGCCAACAACACAGUACAAUGCCACUCGGUCGGACUAAGCCAUAGUCCCCAAUCAUAAUCGACCCCGCACUCACAGUAGAGUACGUGCCUUGCCUCAAUAUAGCAUCACAAUGUGAUAUACCGGGGUUUCAAACCCUCGGGUCAUCAUUUAUACCCAUUACUCACCUUAAGCCGCCCGCAAGCUAGCUCACAAUGCCUUUCCCUCGAGAAUCAAACUCCCCAGAUUCAAAUCUGAUCAAAACCAAUAGGAAUACGUAAAAAUAAGCUAAUCGAACAUAACCCAAUCAAGAUAGCUCGAGUUACACCAAAAAACACGAAGUUGGCGAAACCUGAGCCCCGGGCCCAGUUCUCAAAAAUUAUGAAGUUUACAUUUUCACAAUCCUCGUCUCGCCACGAGUCCGUACAUAUGAAAUUCAUCGAAAUCAGAGUCCAAGUGCUCCUCCAAAUCCCAAAACUUACAUUCAAAAUUCCAAGCCCUAGUUCUUUAACUUUUACACCCAAUUUCAGAGAACUUAUGGUUGGUUCUUCAAUAAAAUGACGUAAUAAGAUCACGAGACUUACCUCCAAUCACGUCCCGUUAAAAUCCCCUUCAAAAUCCGUCAAUGAGCUCUCAAGGUAUUGUAAAAAUAAGGGAAAUAUGGCCCUUGAUCGUAGAUGAAAUAACUUAAUUAAACACACUGCCCAUACGCCCCCUCUUACGCGAACGCAUGGCCAAGUUGCGUCCGCGAUGUCCAUUUAAACAAUAGGAAAAAUUCCUUCUUCGCGAAAGCGGUGCCCAACCGCGAACGCGUACACCACUGCCACCUCUUACAUCGCGAACGCGGGCCCUAGCCGUGAACGCGAAGGGAAAUAGCCCUGGGACCCCCUUCACACGACCAAUACCCUACACGAAUGCGCCCCACAUCCAGGACUGCGAAGGCCAAAGGGACCCAAACCUACGCAAACGCGGGACUGCCUCGCGAACGCGAAGGCCAAAAUGAGUCUGCAGCAGCUGCUGCAUUUUUGCAGCAUUAUUCAACCUCAAAAUGCCUCGUUCAACCAUCUGAAACCAUCCCGAGGCCCUCGGGACCUCAACCAAAAGCCCAAACACAACCUGUUACAUCAUUCAAACUUGCUCGGGCUAUAGAAACGCUAUCUUUAACAUAAAAAAUCACCAAAAUCAUUGAAUUUCAUUCUAAGUUAAACAUAAGCUUUCCAAUCAUAUCCGAUGCCGAAACCAACCAAACGAAGUUCGAAUGACCUGAAAAUUUUUACACAUAUCAAAAUUUACCUAACAAAGCUAAUGCAACUCUCGAAAUUCCAUCCCGACCCCCGAAUAAAAACCUCACCUAUCAACAGAAAUUCGCCGAAAUUCAACUUAGCCAAUUCAAGCCUAAUUCUACACCGGACCUCCAAAUUUAAUUCCAAUUUCGCUCCCAAGUCAUAAAUCACCGUCCAAAACUAGUCGAAUAAUCAGAAUUCCAUUCCGAGCCAUCUAACUCACAAGUCAAUAUCCGGUUGACUUUUCCAACAUAAGUUUUCCUUAAAGAGACUAUUUGUCUCAUUUCUAUCCAAAUUCUAUCUGUAACACUUCAAGUUCAUCAACCACAUAUAAUGAAACUCGGGGAAGCAUAAAACAAGGAAUUCGGGGAAAAAAUACAAGAGACAAUGAGUCGGAUCGUCACAUCCUCCCCAACUUAAACAAACGCUCAUCCUCGAGCGUACCUAGAGUUGUACUAGAAGCAAUUCAAUAGCUAAAUGACCUUACCAGGCCAUGCCCGGGGCAAUACCAUGUCACCCUAUCUCACAUAGGUGCCGAUAACAUAACACAGCUAAAAUUUCACACUCCAUUUGGCCUAUAAAUCGUAGAACCACACUGCACUACCCGAAAUCAUACACAAGAUCAGAACCUCACAUCUAUAUUCAGAAUCAAUCUGAACCAGCUGUAACAACCCACACCAGCAACCUCAGGUGAAUUCAUACAAUAUACACUACAAUUCAACACUUGGAACAAUAGUCUCUAUUCAUAGCAGUUACCCACAGUACUCAAUUACCAAUAAGAAACCUCUUAUCUAGCUAAAGUCUUAUUCCAACACUUUCGCAUAUUGCCAGCGAUAACUAAAACACGCAACGAACAGUAGCAGUUCUUCAGAUUAAACAUUCAUGAAGUCGCUUCCAAGUUGACUAUUACCACAACAGAUCCUCGGGCCAAACCUCGAUAUUACCCUUCUAACCAGCUGAAAUCAAAUGUGCUCAUACUCAUUAAUAACCCAAUGAUCACCUAGAAUCUAACACACCACUUCUGGUGAUGUGGUGCCUCAGUACGAGCCUAAGCUACAAUUGCAUAAUACACGCGCCAAUAAGGAACAAUCUACACAUUCCAAAUCAGGGCAAAUGAUUCAUCCGGAAGAGUUAUACCUCACGCUCAUCAAUACCUUCACAAGACCAAACUGAGACCCAGUCUCACAUCAUAGGAAUAUAGUACUUGAAUCCUCCUAGAGAGGUCAUAACUUCACGUGGCCUCGCCACAACACGUGAUCCUAUCCCAACACUGUUACACAUGAAACACCUCGUGUUACCAUGCUCACAGUGUCUCACAUCAUAGGAAUAGAGUACUUGAAUCCUCCUAGAGAGGUCAUAACUUCACGUGGCCUCGCCACAACACGUGAUCCUAUCCCAACACUGUUACACAUGAAACACCUCGUGUUACCAUGCUCACAGUAGACAGCCAUGCACAGAUCUAUGCCUAGAAACAAAUCUCCCAUCACACUCACGGUAAAAAAAGUAAUAUACACAAUUCAGUCCUGAAAGCACAACCGAUACACUAUCCGCCAAGCAAUUCUCAAUACGAACUUUCCGCAGAAGCCAGGAAGCAGGGCAUACAAAGUAACAUAUGGAAGGCCAAUAUUAAUAUCACACCAUUGCGGCGUGCAACCCGAUCCCGAUAACAUACUCGUGGCGGCGUGCCACCCGAUCCACAUAAUAUCUCACAUAAGGGGUGCACAUCGAGCCACAUUGGCUCAUAAUAACAAAAUAUCAACGUCGGUCGUAAGCAAACUGAGUGCAUAAAGAUAUCUAUUUAGAGUUGUGAGCUACAAAUUCCACUUCCACUACUACUCAUACUAGAGCCUUACGAUAUGGUACCCGGCACCAAAUAUUUAUUGAAAUCUGCAGUCUUGCCCGACAACAUUCCCGACCACAAGGACGAAUCUGAAAGGUCCCUCAAUACUGGAAUUGAAAUCAAUGGUAGAAACCUCUAUACUGACAUCCGCCUCGAAGGCCCAAUUAAGAAACGCAAUUCUCCCAAGCCGACCGCUAGUAUCUGAAACACAACCAUCCAGCUAGAACAUAGUACGAUACACCCCGCCACGCAACCUGUGGCAUUUCCCAACAUGCCUCGUAGCACAAUUGUUUAAAAUAAUCCGACACUGAGACAAUCACUCUACAUCCCCAUAACAUAUCCAUAAUUUAUAUACUAAUAAGGGAAAUUUCCACUCGAGUUCCGAAUUCCCAAUAGCAGCUGACAGUACCAACACAACACACACGAUCCAUAACCACGACAUAGAAUGCACCGGAGAACUCCCAGUCUCCAACUAACCAUAGCACACGAAUCACUGAACCUGAACCCAAAUACGAAUACAGAUUACACCUCGUGUACCCAAGUAUUCCAUGAGAGGUAUUCAAAAACUCCCAUGUGCCAUCAAACAACUCAGAUAUCCGAAGUCGAUCCCAUAAGGAAAUGCUAUAACACUACUGAUGUAUCAUUUGUGGGAUUACCCUCUUUCUGAAACAUAUGCCAUUGUCAAAUCACUUCCAAUUAACAGUACCAGUUCCUUGAUUACCUGAAGCUACUCAUUACCUAAGACAUAGCCAAAUCCACCAUACCUCUCGGAACUGAGUUGAAAUCUCGCACACGCCCAUCUUAGUCCUUUACAACAUAUAUCAUACCCAAUAUCGUAGCCAAAUCCACCAUACCCUUCAGAACUGAGUCAAAAACUUGCACACGCCCAUCUCGGUCCUUUACAACAUACCGCAUACCCAAUAUCCUCCAGGGAUAACACAAGAACUUCCAUCUCCUUUCUGCGCCGCAGACAUCGACGCACCCAACUAGUCUAGAACUUUCAUUGAUCUCAUUUAGAAGAAUUUUUUUAUACACUCCAUGCUCUGCAUGUCCAUAGAAAAUAUACAUCAAAACACAUAUACUCUGUAGACAAUGCAAUACCAUGGUGAGAUUAAACUCACUCUUUCAUAAGCUUGUGGAAACACGAAUCAUCAGAAAUUCUAACCCUUCUGCAUCUGCUUUCAUUCACAUAACCGCUAAGCUCACUCUUCUAGGCGGCAAGAUUUUUUUUACUAAGUCCCAAAUUUUCAAAAAUUUCGGCAGAGCUUCCUUUGUAAUUGAGCCUAUCCACAUGCCAGAGAGCCACCAAAACCAUCCUAACAACACGUCCACAACUUGACAAGACAUCACAAUGUAUAUCAAUAACAGAGAUCCCAAUGUUACACAUAUUAUAUUAUCGAAAUUGGAACAUGAGCAUUCGUUGCACCUGUUCGAAUCAUAACAUACAGAAAAUACCUUUUAAUUACACAUAGGAUCUUCUAACACACACAUAAUGAUCAUACCACUUCAGAAUAAUCUGCAGGAGAUAUCCACCUGCUUGCUUCAAUAUAGUAUUUCGGUACAUCAUCCACCGUCAUACUCCUCACGCAAUCAAUUGGUCUUUCUGAGUCUGGGCUCAUACCACAACACACACACUCCUACCUAGGAGACUCAAAAAGAUUCUUCACGCGCCCACAACUCGGGGCAACACGUCCAAUCGCAAUGGAAAUCAAUCACUUAAUGGUCCGUUUAUCACACAACAGACCUUCUUCGACACUACCAAGUCGUACAGACUCAUAACACGGUACCAACGAUCAUCAUGAAUAUCCAGCCGUCGUUACCACAAUUAGGGAUAAUACUGAACUUAUAAGCUCAUAUCACCAGCUCGCGCAGUCAGCACCUUGGUGUUCCAGCAAAAGACAAUAUCUGGCCUCAAGUCCUCCAAACUGGUCCAACGUCAUCCUCACGAAGAUUGCAUCUCUCCCCUCGAUCGGGGAAUCGCAAGCCAUCGAAGCAUAUAUAAUACUGAGCGCUCAUGCGUGCAUGCGAACACGUGGAAGGAAUUUCAAGGGUUACUCUUUCAAGCUCAAUCAAGGACGCACGAUAAGAUUUCAAGAAAGUGGAGUGUUUCCUAAAGGUUCUGUAGCCUCUUGACGUCCAUUAGCACGAGUUCUCGCCAUAGUAUAGAAUAAAGAACUUUAGUUUUCACAUUAUCAAACCACACGAUAUGAAUUUUAAGAAGGUGAUAUGUUUCUUAAAAGUUCUGUAGCCUCCUCCUUAUAAGUGUGGUGCGCGACACACCCAUAAACAAGACUCUGCUAAACCGGCUCAUGACUCGUGAGGCAUAGUAACCUAGGCUCUGAUACCAACUUGUCACGACCCCAACCCCGUCAUGAUGGCGCUCGCACAUUGCUAGGCACGCCCGACCGUUCACCCAAUAUUCUGAGCUACGAGCUCGCAUCCUUAUUUCACAAAUCAUUACAGCGAAAAGAAUCCAAAAUAUUUUAGCAGUUAAUAGAAAAUAUCCCAACAACCAAUACACAAUAUCCUCCCACAGAUCUGGGGGUCACGAGUUAAGAGCCUCUACCAGAAUACCAAAAUAAAUACCAAAAUAUCUCAUUAUCUGAGUAUGCGGAAAUAACAAAAGUACAGGAAAUAUAAUGGAGAGUCGGGUCCCGCGGACGCCAUGCAGCUGCGUAAUAAAUACCAAAAUAUCUCAUAAUCUGAGUAUGCAGAAAUAACAUAAAUACAGGAAAUAUAAUGGAGGGUCGGGUCCUGCGGACGCCAUACAGCUACCCCGACAAGCUCCGAAUAAUACUCUGAAAAGCAGCAAAAAUUAUCAACUCUCCCCUGUGGUACCUGGAUCUGCACACAAGGUGCAGGGAGUAUGGGGUGAGUCUACCAACUCAGCAAGUAAUAAGCAUGUAUAAAAACUCAAAUAUAAGAAAUCACGAAAUAACACAAAAUGAAGCUAUCUAGCAGUUCUAUGCAGAACAACCCUGAGAGAUAUGCAUAUAAAGCAACAGUAAUUAAAUGCAUGACCACUGCGGAACGUGCAGUCCGAUCCAUUUGGGUACCCGCGCUCACUGUGGGAGUUCAGACUCCGGAGGGGCUCCUACAGCCCAAGCGCAAUAUCAUAGUAACAUAUGUUGCGGCGCACAGCCCGACCCACUAUUAGUCCAGGUAUAUGCAUGCAAGCCUCACAGGCACAAAAUAACUUACCACUUAUAGUUCCGUUUAUCAGUAAUUAUAAAAUGAGGUGUUCAAAAUCGUAGAAUUUGCCAAAUCAUUUUUAAACAGUGUUCUAAUGCAGGACUGAUAUCAUGAAAACAUGCUAUGAUUCAUGGAAACAAUGAUAAUGAUCCUCACAGGAUCCAAAUAACUGACACGCAGCCCAAAUAUGUUCAUAACCAUCCAAGUGGGAGGUUUACCGACUCAUUUAUAGCCAACAACACAGUACAAUGCCACUCGGUCAUACUAAGUCAUAGUCCCCAAUCAUAAUCGACCCCGCACUCACAGUAGAGUACGUGUCUCGCCUCAAUAUAGCGUCACAAUAUGAUAUAUCAGGGUUUCAAACCCUCGAGUCAUCAUCUACACCCAUUACUCACCUUAAGCCGGCCGCAAGCUAGCUCGCAAUGUCUUUCCCUCGAGCAUCAACCUCCGCAUAUGCCAAAUCUGAUCAAAACCAAUAGGAAUACCUCAAAAUAGGCUAAUGGAACAUAACCCAAUCGAAAUAGCUCAAAUUACUCCCAAAAACACGAAGUUGGAAAAACCCGAGCCGUGGGCCCUCUUCUCGAAAAAUUAUGAAUGUCACAUUUUCAGAAUCCUUGUCUCGCCACGAGUCCGUACACAUAAAAUUUAUCAAAAUCGUAGUCCAAUUGCUCCUCCAAAUACCAAAUUUACAUUCAAAAUUCCAAGACCUAGUUCUUUAACUUUUACACCCAAUUUCAGAGAAUUUAUGGUUGGUUCUUCAAUAAAAUAAUGUAAUAAGACCACGAGACUUACCUCCAAUCACUUCCCGUUGAAAUCCCCUUCAAAAUCCGUCAAUGAGCUCUCAAGGUAUUGUAAAAAUGGAGGAAAUAUGGCCCUUGCUCACGGAUGAAAUAACUUAAUUAAACACACUGCCCAAACGUCCCCUCUUAUGCGAACACAUGGCCAAGUCUCGUACGCGAUGGCCAAUUAAACAUUGGGCAAAAUUCCUUCUUCGCGAAUGCGGUGCCCAACCGCGAACGCGUACACCACUGCCACCUCCUUCAUCGCGAACGCGGGCCCUAGCCGCGAAUGCGAAGAUUAAUAGCCAGGGGACCCCCUUCACACGACCAAUAUCCUACGCGAACGCGCCCCUCAUCCACGAACGUGAAGGACAAAGGGACCUAGACCUACACAAACGCGGGACUGCCUCGCGAACGCAAAGGCCAAAAUGGGUCUGCAGUUGCUGCUGUAUUUCUGCAACACUAUUCAACCUCCAAACUCAUCUUUCAACCAUCUGAAACAAUCUCAAGGCCCUCAGGACCUCAACCAAAAGCGCAAACACAACCCAUUACCUCAUUCAAACUUGCUCGGGCUAUAAAAAAGCUAUCUUUAACAUCAAAAAUCAUCAAAAUCAUUGAAUUUCAUUCUAUGUUAAAAUUAAGCUUUCCAAAAUCAUAUCUGAUGCCGAAACCAACCAAACGAAGUCCGAAUGACCUGAAAAUUUGCACACAUAUCCAAAUUUACCUAAAGAAGCUAAUGAAACUCUCGAAAUUCCAUCCCAACCUCGGGAUAAAAACCUCACCUAUCAACCAGAAUUCGCCGAAAUUCAACUUAUCCAAUUCAAGCCUAAUUCUACACCAGACCUCCAAAUUCAAUUUCGAUUUCGCUCCCAAGUCAUAAAUACAGUCCGAAACUAGCCGAAUCAUCGGAAUUCCAUUCCGAGCCCUCUAACUCUCAAGUCAAUGUACGGUUGACUUUUCCAACUUAAGUUUUCCUUAAAGAGACUAUUUGUCUCAUUUCUAUCCAAAUUCUAUCCGAAACACAUCAAGUUCAUCAACCACAUAUAAUGAAACUCGGGGAAGCAUAAAACAAGGAAUUCGGGGCAAAAAUGCAAGAGACAACGGGUCGGGUCAUCACACUUAGACAUGGCAGACAUCCCGUAAACUUUGCUGGAGUCAAACAAAACUAAACUCUAUUAUAAUAACUAUCCAGUAUAAUAUAAUGGAAUACAAUCAUUCACAGAAUAGAAAACUUUGCUGGAGUCAAACAAAACUAAACUCUAUUAUAAUAACUAUCCAGUAUAAUAAAUGGAAUACAAUCAUUCACAGAAUAAAAAUUUAUUUAUAUUUUUUUAUUACACAUUAAUGUAUUUUUUAUGUAGCAUUAGUUUUACAUAUUUCUACAAUUACUACUGGAAUUAAAUAAUGAAGAUUUUUUUAUCACUUACUUCUGUUGCCAACUACUUGUGUUCUUACAUUCAAUUUCUCAGACAAAAAAUAGUUAACAAUUUUUUCGGCAUUUAUUGCUAUUAAAUAUAUGAAAUUUGGCAGUUAGAACAAUUUACUAGAAAUAAAUAAUUUAAUAUUUCGUUUCCUGUAUAUUUUACUGGAUUUGUUUAAUAUAAAACCAUUACAUCCUGUAAUUACUACCGGAAUAGAAACCUGUAUCUCCGUAAAAGGAGCGUAGAGUGUAGUAUCAGCAUAACCAUCCCAUGUGUUGGUAAGUGCCCGGCUUAUCCCGGCGAAGUAGUGACAAGGCUAGGACCAGACACUCACAUAAACCUAUACAGUUCAAAUAUAUAUAUGCAACAAUAAUAACAGGAAGAUAAAUAUUUGAGAAGGGGGAGACAUCUUCUGGGGUAGCAACAAAAUAUAAUAACAGGUGCAGAAUAAAUGAAUUUCAUUUAAUGAGGACGGGUAAAUCAAAAUCGGCAUGGCACCACCCAUCGUGCUUUUACUCUCGUUCUCACCAAAUAAUCAAUUAAGAUGUACGGCAUCACCCAUCGUACUUUUACUUUCACACUCUCAUAAUCACUCUUCCUCGUCACCGGUAAAGAAUAUAUUAAUGUCAGCAGAAAAACUAACCUUUUCAUACUUUUGGUUAAAAUUCAGUUGCCUUGCUCUUUAAAACAAAUAAUAGACAAAACUAUUCAACUCCAAAGCUAAAUAUUCUUUCAGUAGUGAGGCUAAAUGCAUUUUAAUAAUUCUAAUAAUGAGCGCACGAAUAGCUAAUUGGAAUGCGUAAAUUAAGUUUUAGGCAUUCGACUUAUAUUUAUAAGAAGAAUCGGAGGAUGCUUUCGUUUUGUCAAGAAAAUCCAACAUCUCUUACUCUUUAUCUCUUUCACAAUUCAAAAUGCAAAGCCACUGUGCUUCUCUUGAUUUACACACUCAAAAUUUAUGUGUACAAGUCUUGAUCUUAAAACUCAACAAAAGCUUGAAUCUUACAGUUUACUCAAUCAUUUCGCUAAGUCGAACAUACCAUAUUGAGGAAUCUUCUGUUUUCAUUUCAUGUAAUUAAAUCAAAAACCAUAAGCCCUUCUUCAUGCAAAAUUUAAUACUCCAAUAUACAAGUUCUGCACAGAGCAAAUGAAAGUAUUCCUCAUGUUACAUAUCUGCCAAACAAGCAAUUCUUAUAUUCCACACAAGCCAAUAUUAAUUUGAAAAGCAUUAAUACAAGCCCACAUUUUAUAUCAAUAAUAUAUCAUUUCUAUCUAAUGCUUUUAUGGCUUUGAAGAAACAAUAUGGGAAAAAGAAAGAUUAGAUUUGCAAUCAAAUAUACUGACCUUGUAUUGUUAUGACAUAUUCUGAGUACAGGAGCAUCCAGAAAGCUUUGUCUGUAUCUACUUCUAAUCACACCCACAAAUUUAACCCACAAUAGACAUUGAAUUGCGAAAUUAGGAAGAGGAGAAUCCAAAAAAAGCGUAGAAAAUAAAAGAGAUGAAGGAAAAAGAGGAGAAAAUAUGGGCAAAAUUAAUAAGCGAAGAACAUAUCAGCAGGUAAAAUGCCCAAAACAAACAUGAGAACAAGAGCAGAGAGAGAGACCGUAGAAAUUGUCAUAGAUAGAAGCUGAAGAAACAUUUUUUGACAGUUCAAAAAAACAAAGGAAAAAGCUAAUGUUAUACUUGUAGUGAUAUUGAAUUUACACGUAGGUAUGGGGAUGUUAAAAUAAUACUCUAAUUUUCACAUGGAC